rnacentral:rRNA from 1 species
UACAGAGGUCUCAAGCGUUGUUCGGAUUCAUUGGGCGUAAAGGGUGCGUAGGCGGCGCGGUAAGUCGGGUGUGAAAUCUCGGGGCUCAACCCCGAGCGGUCGUGAGAAACUGGCAGGCUAGAGUGCGGGAGAGGAGAGUAGAAUUCCUGGUGUAGCGGUGAAAUGCGCAGAUAUCAGGAAGAACACCCGUGGCGAAGGCGGCUCUCUGGAACGCAACUGCCGCUGAGACGCGAAAGCGUGGGGAGCAAACAGG